rnacentral:lncRNA from 1 species
CAGACUAGGGUGUGGGCACAGGCAGGGGCCAGUGAACAGCAUAUGUAAGAGUCCUGAGGCAGAGCUGAAUUGGAGGACCAGAAAGAAGGCCAGCGUGAGUGGAGUCCCAAGGGAGGAGACAGAGAAGUGGCCAGGGCCAGGUGAGAAGGACCCAGUAGACUGUGGUAAGGAGCUUGGCUUUAUCCUGAGGGCAUAGGGAGCCAUGGAGGGAGGGGAGCAGCCAGGUACCUUUUUUAAAGACCCUUCCUGGUUUUAGAUGGAGAAGAAGCUGGUGGUCAGGGUUCAAGAGCAGAAAAGACACUCUUCCUACCCUGUUCCAACAGCCCAGCCUGGAUGGCAAAAGCGACAGACCCUCCCUCAGAGGGACAAGGAUGAGACGGCCGAACCAGUGCUCCUGCCCGGGCUCCACAGGCCCCUUUCCUCGCUGGCCCCACUGGAGAGGCAGGGGUUAAGCUCCAUGGCCUGUCCCCUCUGUCACACAUGUACCCUGCCAUCUCUGGGCUCAACUGUCGCUGCGCUGUAUCGGGACUCCAUCAGAGAGGCUCAGGCAGCAGCUUGCAGUGUUCAGGCCGGCGGUCUCGAGGGUGGCGAGUUCUUGCACUCCUACAACAGCGCUUGAGGACGGCUCUGUCCGCUGGCCUAUGCUGCAGCCUCCUCCUGCCCCUGCGGCAGAGGAGGGAGAGCCGUGGGCACAGCUAGCACUAGCACGUGUGGGUUCAGAGGUCUGAGCGGCCACUUCCCGCUUCCAGACCUCGGAUGCGACGCUCAUCUGCACGGUGUGGGCAGAGAUAACAUCCUCCCCAGAACAGCAUGGAAAUGUUUCAGCAGGGUGCUCGGCUUAGAUAAGUGCUCGGCAAACCAGAGUUGCCAUCAUGAUUCCCCCACGGCCCUCAAUCCUCUCCUCCCUGCAAAGCGUGCAUCCUUUUUUACCCCAUCUUCCACCCCUCCCAAUUUCCCUUUUGGCCUCAUCUUGGAGGCUGUAAGUCAGGGUGAAUCAUUCAUCAAAAUAUCUCACUCUUCCUCUUCCAGGGUUCCUGAUAUAAUUACCUCCCUCUUCGGUUUUGCUCCUGAUCCCUCUUCUGUUUUUUUCUGUGUGAACUUUAUUUUAACCAUCCUUUGUGUCUGUGAAUGUUUUUUUUUUUUUUAAAUCUUGCCAAUGAAAAUAACUUAAUUGCU